rnacentral:tmRNA from 1 species
GGGGGCGACCGGUUUCGACAUUUUAGAAUGAAAUCUUAGAUUGCAUGUAGAGCUUAGUAACUCUUAAAACUUCUAAACUAUAUUAAGUGCCGAUAAUGGCCAAAUGGCUUUUGCUUAAUUGCUAAAGUCCAUCAUCAGUAGACGUUUCUCAUCGUUCGCUGAAUGGUGUCAUAAAAAUGAGAUAGUUUAUUUUUCUGCUUCGGUUUAAUAAAUGAAUCCUUAGAAGAUAGCUAUAUGCCUGUUUGUUCUUGUACUGUCAUGUAGUGA